rnacentral:rRNA from 1 species
UACGGAGGGUGCAAGCGUUAUCCGGAUUCACUGGGUUUAAAGGGUGCGUAGGCGGGUUGGUAAGUCCGUGGUGAAAUCCCCAAGCUUAACUUGGGAACUGCCGUGGAUACUAUCAAUCUUGAAUAUCGUGGAGGUAAGCGGAAUAUGUCAUGUAGCGGUGAAAUGCUUAGAUAUGACAUAGAACACCAAUUGCGAAGGCAGCUCACUACACAAAUAUUGACACUGAGGCACGAAAGCGUGGGGAUCAAACAGG